rnacentral:rRNA from 1 species
GGUGGAGUAACCUUUUAGGAGCUAGCCGUCGAAGGUGGGACAGAUGAUUGGGGUGAAGUCGUAACAAGGUAGCCGUAUCGGAAGGUGCGGCUGGAUCACCUCCUUUCUAAGGA